AUACGGAGGGUGCAAGCGUUAAUGGGAAUUACUGGGCGUAAAGCGUGCGCAGGCGGUUUGUUAAGUCAGAUGUGAAAGCCCCGGGCUCAACCUGGGAACUGCAUUUGAAACUGGCAAACUAGAGUGUGGUAGAGGGAAGUGGAAUUCCUCAUGUAGCGGUGAAAUGCGUAGAUAUGAGGAGGAACACCAGUGGCGAAGGCGACUUCCUGGACCAACACUGACGCUCAUGUACGAAAGAGUGGGUAGCAAACAGGAUUAGAUACCCUAGUAGUCC
rnacentral:rRNA from 1 species